rnacentral:lncRNA from 1 species
AAACCAAGUCUUGCAAAAACAUCAAGGGACUUUUCAUGAUCACAUCAUGGGAACUGCUGCGCUAACUAAGCAGGUUCAGAGGAGCUGACACAACAGCCUGUCCCCCAAGAAGAGGGUACCACUGUUCCCUCUGCUCUAAACCCCUGCUAUGGGAAUUGCUGCCCAUCAUGUGCCAUGCAAUGGCCAAAACAGGCUUGGGAACUGUGCAACAGCUUUGGUGACAAUCAAGAUGAUGCUGCUUGUCAACACUAAGCCAAAACAGAUUAUUGUGAUGAGGGAAUCAGAACUCUCCAAGCACAAUCAUGAAAUCUGACCCAAUAGACUCCUGCAGCCUCUCUUGCUAUCAAUCAGCUGUAGGUUAAAUUCUCUCAGAGAAGAAAGCAAUCAAAGUUUAUUUCAGAGUGCAUUGAGAUAAUUCCUAGACCUCACUGAAAUAAAUGAAUGCCUCUCUCACA